GGAGCUCAUGAAGCUUCGUAAGGACUGCGGUAUUAAUCUUACGCAGUCAGUAUGCAAAGUUGCACCCCCGCCUGGAUCUUCCACCAAUGGUUCUUCCUCACACAACUCUACACCUUCAAGCAGUCUAAAAAGUGCAGCCUAUGGGAUCACUUUGGUCUAUUUGGUUUGGCAAUUUUCUCUGUGGCUGUAAUUAUUUCAGCAACCCAGGCUUGAUAGAUUAGAAUAUAGUCCCGGAGUGAAUGCCAUUUUGGUACACGGUCAGAAAAGCUAGCUGUGGUGGUGGAACUACUCUAGCAUUUAAGUGGAUCUUCCUAAAUUCAAUUGUAGUUUGUUUGUUCUAAAUCUUGUAUAAGCCCUGAUAAAGUACGUGUUGACCUACAAGUAAACUAAAAACACUGAA